ACAUCUAGUUCAGUGAAUAUGUCAUAAACAAAUAAGUAAGAAUUAAUAGAACAGAAGUACUUUAUAUCUCUUUUGACAGUAAAGGGUUAACAAGUUCAGGAAGCAUGGCUGUCA